GACGAACGCUGGCGGCGUGCUUAACACAUGCAAGUCGAACGGUAAGGCCCUUUCGGGGGUACACGAGUGGCGAACGGGUGAGUAACACGUGGGUGAUCUGCCCUGCACUUUGGGAUAAGCCUGGGAAACUGGGUCUAAUACCGGAUAGGACUACGCGAUGCAUGUCGUGUGGAGGAAAGCUUUUGCGGUGUGGGAUGGGCCCGCGGCCUAUCAGCUUGUUGGUGGGGUGAUGGCCUACCAAGGCGACGACGGGUAGCCGGCCUGAGAGGGUGUCCGGCCACACUGGGACUGAGAUACGGCCCAGACUCCUACGGGAGGCAGCAGUGGGGAAUAUUGCACAAUGGGCGCAAGCCUGAUGCAGCGACGCCGCGUGGGGGAUGACGGCCUUCGGGUUGUAAACCCCUUUCAGCACAGACGAAGCGUAAGUGACGGUAUGUGCAGAAGAAGCACCGGCCAACUACGUG
rnacentral:rRNA from 1 species